UCCUUCACGCCCCUCCCUUCCUCGCAGCGUCCUCCACGCUCUGGUCAUGCGGCCUGUGGCCCCAUGCCAUGCUGCCGGGCUAAAGCGGGUUGAAUUAAUGGCGCCUGAGGCCAGCUCCUGAGCACUCCUGAGGCAGCUUGAAACCCAGCAAAAGCUCCCUGGCUGAUAAAAGUUCAGUGGCUAAAAUGGAAAUACUGGGACCCGGGUAGGUGGAAAUUGCGUUUUCAAAGCCACCUUUCCCUCCAUCCCCUCCAUCUGGUCGGGCUGCUGGAAUCCUCACAGUGGAGAACUUCCAGCUGAGGGAUCUACACUUUGGUCAUGCCUCAUAGAAGAACAGCCCCAGCCAUAGUAUUAAAAGGAGGAAACAUCACAGUGGACAGCUCUAAUUCCUGCACUAUAGACAGGAAACGCAGAAGCCCAUGGUGGGUAAAGCCUGGAAGACUAUGCCACCUCCCACUAGCCUGAGAAGUUUCCAUGCUCUCUCCACUCCAGUCCUCCAGAUUCCCAGGAACAACCCCAGGUGUAGAAGUUGGAAACCUACUCCUGCCCCAGUGACCAGGGAGCCUUCCCAUCCACAAAGACACUGAUCUUGUCCAGGGUAAGGCUCUGUACCUGGGUACCAUUCUGAGUCAGUCACAGGAAUUCCUCACAGAUGGCAACUCUGUCCGGUCCCCACAUCAACGGUGAGAAGUUACACAGACAGUCCCCCAGUGUGGUUACUGUGGGGACAGAGCUAGAAGGGCACAAGGGAUGCACAAGGGUGUCUGGAAUUCUGCCCUGAUUCUAGGUCCUGUUCAAGAGAACUUUCUGUAAGGAUGUGAACAUUUGUCUGCCCUACCCAAUACAGUCAUUAUUAGUCCUCUGUUGUUAUUGAGCAGUUAAAAUGUGCCUACUGGGCAUGAAUGAGGAGCUAAGUUUCUCAUGUAUUUUAAUUUAAUGUAAUUGACUUAUAAAUAAGUAGUCACAGGGAAAUGUUGGAGAAAGGAUUUCUGAAAAUCCAAAAAAAAAAAAAAAAUGAGAAGACUGGUCAAAAUGGUCAAAAUCAAUAUUUUCAGAAGUCUAGAAAUUAACCAAAGGCUUGCAGCAAUCUGAGGACUGUUUGGUUAGGAAAAACUUGAUUCUUGGUGAAGCGAGUAAGCUCUGUGGCAUUGUAACUUGCACUAUUCCCAUCCUGCUCUCACAAUAUUCUCAAUAACUUUGAAAGCCAUCAGUCUCAGAACCAUGGUAGCUCUGAAAACCAACACCUUAGCAGCCAUAAUGGAUUUGGAGCUCCCAAAAGACCCAUCCCCACUGAACUCUCACUAUUUGAGCCAUCUGGCAGCUCCUUGACAGAGCCUCACUCUCAGGGCUUCUCUUUAUUUGAUUCAGAGCUUGCUCAGUGAGGAAAGCUUUUCCCCAGAGCACUGGAAGAAAAAACAUCAGUGGUAAUUGUUUUACAUUUCAGAGGCCUGAGUGAGCUAUACCAGUUGAGGCAGGCAAGAGGUGAGCAGAAGCAUAAAAGAAAAAUUGUAGGAAUGAAAUGUCCAUGGGGGCUUUGGAAGGCUCCAGUGGAUUUGUGGUUAUCUAGAAGGCUGUAAGUGUGCAGGGCUCUGUGCAUAACCAGGAAAGACUUGAGAAGGUCUUAACCUCUCGCCUUUAGCUGAAAGUUUGGUUUAUCUGAAAAAUUGAUUAACAUAAUAUGCCAUAUUAAUAGAGUAAAGGACAAAUACCACAUAAUCUCAAUACACACAUGGAAUAUAGGUUUCACAAAAUACAAAUCCUUCAGGAUUAAAAAAGAAAUCACUCAACACAUUAGGAAUAGAAAGAAAUUUUCUCAACCUGAUAAAUAUCAUCCUUGAAAAGCCCACAGCUAACAACAUACUCAAUGGUGAAAGACUGAAAAUUUCCCCCUAAGACCAGGGACAAGACAGCAAUGUCUGCCCUCAUCUCAUGUGGUGACCACAUUGUACUAGAGGUUCUAAUGAGGGCAGUUAGGCAAGAAAAAGAAAUAAAAGGCAUUCAGGUUGGAAAGGAAGGUGUAAA
rnacentral:lncRNA from 1 species